GCUUAGUACUGAAUCUGGCACACAAGAGGUAGCUCAUAGACACUGGCUGCACCAACUGAAUGAACCCUUGGAAUUAGGAGCCAGUAAAGUUGAUCUCAUCACCAAAAUGAAAAGGGGAAACCUUGUUUUUCUUAUUUGAACCCAAGGCACUCUACCUGGUCUAUCAAGAGAAGAGCUAAAUUAAAUGAAAGAAGCAUUUCUCAAGACAAUUGUAGGUUUACAUUCUUUGGGACAUCUGAAAGAGGGGCUGGAAAUCCACACUCUGAACAGGCUACAGCUUGCCUACCUGAAGCAGGGGUAAGCAAUGCAACUGGUAAAGCACUCAGGUACCAGCAAGGGUUACUCUCUGUCACUGCCAAGAGAUCUGGGCAUGGGAUAGCCAAGUGGAGUCAGAUGACUGUUCUGCCAAAACAGGAGUUCUGAGCCUGGGGAUUCAUGAGACUGGGUCUCAGCAGGAGGAAAACAUUCACAUCUCUGUUAUAGAAAAGUUAUUAAUGGUGUUGACUAUUUGGAAGAAAAGAACAAAUUCUUGCUCAAUCACAAGUGUUCAGUUAAACACUAGGAAGGAGUGUUUUCCGAGGCUGGUUGCAAGGCCUGGCAGCUCUCUGUCAUGGUCAAUGGGAUUCACUUAAUUUGGAGUGGUGGAAGACAACUCCCAAAGUCAUUUUUGAUGGAAGGUAUGAUCUCUGAGGUGGAUGCACAGGCAAGG